rnacentral:rRNA from 1 species
AUUGAACGCUGGCGGCAUGCCUUACACAUGCAAGUCGAACGGUAACAGGUCUUCGGAUGCUGACGAGUGGCGAACGGGUGAGUAAUACAUCGGAACGUGCCCGAGAGUGGGGGAUAACGAAGCGAAAGCUUUGCUAAUACCGCAUACGAUCUCAGGAUGAAAGCAGGGGACCGCAAGGCCUUGCGCUCACGGAGCGGCCGAUGGCAGAUUAGGUAGUUGGUGGGAUAAAAGCUUACCAAGCCGACGAUCUGUAGCUGGUCUGAGAGGACGACCAGCCACACGGGGACUGGGACACGGCCCAGACUCCUACGGGAGGCAGCAGUGGGGAAUUUUGGACAAUGGGCGCAAGCCUGAUCCAGCCAUGCCGCGUGCAGGAUGAAGGCCUUCGGGUUGUAAACUGCUUUUGUACGGAACGAAAAGACUCCUUCUAAUAAAGGGGGUCCAUGACGGUACCGUAAGAAUAAGCACCGGCUAACUACGUGCCAGCAGCCGCCGUAAGAC